GGGCGUUUAGCUCAGCUGGUCCAGAGCAUCUGCCUUACAAGCAGAGGGUCCGGGGUUCGAAUCCCUGAACGCCCACCA
rnacentral:tRNA from 1 species